CCUACGGGUGGCAGCAGUGGGGAAUAUUGGACAAUGGGCGAAAGUCUGAUCCAGCCAUGCCGCGUGUGUGAAGAAGGCCUUCGGGUUGUAAAGCACUUUCAGUGGGGAAGAAAGCCUUGGGGCUAAUACCCUCGAGGAAGGACAUCACCCACGGAAGAAGCACCGGCUAACUCCGUGCCAGCAGCCGCGGUAAUACGGAGGGUGCGAGCGUUAAUCGGAAUUACUGGGCGUAAAGCGCGCGUAGGCGGUCUGAUAAGCCGGUUGUGAAAGCCCCGGGCUCAACCUGGGAACGGCAUCCGGAACUGUCAGGCUAGAGUGCAGGAGAGGAAGGUAGAAUUCCCGGUGUAGCGGUGAAAUGCGUAGAGAUCGGGAGGAAUACCAGUGGCGAAGGCGGCCUUCUGGACUGACACUGACGCUGAGGUGCGAAAGCGUGGGUAGCAAACAGGAUUAGAUACCCGAGUAGUC
rnacentral:rRNA from 1 species